CUACGGGGGGCUCCAGUGGGGAAUAUUGCACAAUGGGCGCAAGCCUGAUGCAGCCAUGCCGCGUGUAUGAAGAAGGCCUUCGGGUUGUAAAGUACUUUCAGCGGGGAGGAAGGGAGUAAAGUUAAUACCUUUGCUCAUUGACGUUACCCGCAGAAGAAGAACCGGCUAACUCCGUGCCAGCAGCCGCGGUAAUACGGAGGGUGCAAGCGUUAAUCGGAAUUACUGGGCGUAAAGCGCACGCAGGCGGGUUGUUAAGUCAGAUGUGAAAUCCCCGGGCUCAACCUGGGAACUGCAUCUGAUACUGGCAAGCUUGAGUCUCGUAGAGGGGGGUAGAAUUCCAGGUGUAGCGGUGAAAUGCGUAGAGAUCUGGAGGAAUACCGGUGGCGAAGGCGGCCCCCUGGACGAAGACUGACGCUCAGGUGCGAAAGCGUGGGGAGCAAACAGGAUUAGAUACCCGAGUAGUC
rnacentral:rRNA from 1 species